GCCUCUGCUCGCGUCUAUAAAUCCCCCAAGACCCCCUCUCUCCGUUCUGCCAGUCCGUUUUGCCCCAGACCAACCAUAGACAACGCCCUACCGCGUUGGAUCUCGCCGGAGCCGGAGCAUCUCGCCGGAGUUUCCAUCGCCGGACCAUCGGAACCGCCGCCCCGACGACAUGCGUCCUCGCCAAAGCACGGAGCCGUCGUCCCCGCGUAGCACAACCCCGACGCCCUCGAGGACACCCGCCUCCACCACCGGACUGCCCACGCCGCGCCCGACCUCCCUGACUCCUUCCUCGCCACUGAAAAGCACCACAGGCGCCGCCCCGUCCAUCGCCCGAGCCAGCGCCGUCGUCCCUGUUCGUCGUCGUUGCCACCAAAUGAGCACUGCGGGAGGUGGACCUUCAAGUUCUCAUGCGGAGGAGUUAUCUUUAGAUUCAGAAAAUGAUUAAGUUAUUAUAGCUUGAUGGAACAAGAAAGAGAUGAAGUCAAAAGAGUCAUCAACUUGUUUCUUCGUUAUUUGAUAUGAUGUUCUGUAAUGAACUUGUCGGACUAUGUUAUGGAGUAUGGACUUGCUAUUAUGUAUUUUGUAACAGACUAGCUAUUUGUUAUCUUGUGAGACUAUGUAUUUAUUAUGUAGUAUGGACUUGCUAUUAUGAACAAGAAAUAUGAUGCUGUUAUGUAAUGAUGUAACAGACUUGCCUUUUGCUAUCUUGUGAAGAA